GAUGAACGCUGGCGGCGUGCCUAAUACAUGCAAGUCGAGCGAACGGACGAGAAGCUUGCUUCUCUGAUGUUAGCGGCGGGCGGGUGAGUAACACGUGGAUAACCUACCUAUAAGACUGGGAUAACUUCGGGAAACCGGAGCUAAUACCGGAUAAUAUUUUGAACCGCAUGGUUCAAAAGUGAAAGACGGUCUUGCUGUCACUUAUAGAUGGAUCCGCGCUGCAUUAGCUAGUUGGUAAGGUAACGGCUUACCAAGGCAACGAUGCAUAGCCGACCUCAGAGGGUGAUCGGACACACUGGAACUGAGACACGGCACAGACUCCGACGGUGAGCCGCAGUAGGGAAUCUUACGCAAUGGGGGAAAGCCUGACGGAGCAACGCCGCGUGAGUGAUGAAGGUCUUCGGAUCGUAAAACUCUGUUAGUAGGGAAGAACAUAUGUGUAAUUAACUGUGCACAUCAUGACGGUACCUAAUGAGAAAGCCACGGCUAACUACGUG
rnacentral:rRNA from 1 species